UAGCUUGCUAAUUAAGAUCUUAGUGGCGGACGGGUUAGUAACACGUGAGAACCUACCCUUUAGACAGGAAUAGCCCAUGGAAACGUGGAUUAAUGCCUGAUAGUCUCUAUGGAGUAAAUGAUGCCUCCGGGUAUCGCUAAAGGAUGGGCUCGCGGCCUAUCAGCUUGUUGGUGAGGUAAAGGCUCACCAAGGCGACGACGGGUAGCUGGUCUGAGAGGACGAUCAGCAACACUGGAACUGAGACACGGUCCAGACACCUACGGGUGGCAGCAGUCGAGAAUCAUUCACAAUGGAGGCAACUCUGAUGGUGCAACGCCGCGUGGAGGAUGACGGUCCUAGGAUUGUAAACUCCUGUCAUUGGGGAGUAAGACUUAAGCGUUAAGAGCGUUUAAGUUUGAUAGUACCCAAAGAGGAAGGGACGGCUAACUUCGUGCCAGCAGCCGCGGUAAUACGAAGGUCCCAAGCGUUGUUCGGAAUCACUGGGCGUAAAGCGUGUGUAGGCUGCGCGGAGAGUCAAAUGUGAAAGCCCGGGGCUCAACCUCGGA
rnacentral:rRNA from 1 species